AUGAACGCUGGCGGCGUGCCUAAUCCAUGCAAGUCGAGCGAACGGACGAGAAGCUUGCUUCUCUGAUGUUAGCUGCGGACGGGUGAGUAACACGUGGAUAACCUACCUAUAAGACUGGGAUAACUUCGGGAAACCGGAGCUAAUACCGGAUGAUAUUUUGAACCGCAUGGUUCAAAAGUGAAAGACGGUCUUGCUGUCACUUAUAGAUGGAUCCGCGCUGCAUUAGCUAGUUGGUAAGGUAACGGCUUACCAAGGCAACGAUGCAUAGCCGACCUGAGAGGGUGAUCGGCCACACUGGAACUGAGACACGGUCCAGACUCCUACGGGAGGCAGCAGUAGGGAAUCUUCCGCAAUGGGCGAAAGCCUGACGGAGCAACGCCGCGUGAGUGAUGAAGGUCUUCGGAUCGUAAAACUCUGUUAUUAGGGAAGAACAUAUGUGUAAGUAACUGUGCACAUCUUGACGGUACCUAAUCAGAAAGCCACGGCUAACUACGUG
rnacentral:rRNA from 1 species